UACAGAGGUCUCAAGCGUUGUUCGGAUUCAUUGGGCGUAAAGGGUGCGUAGGCGGCGCGGUAAGUCGGGUGUGAAAUCUCGGAGCUUAACUCCGAAACUGCAUUCGAUACUGCCGUGCUUGAGGACUGGAGAGGAGAGUGGAAUUUCCGGUGGAGCGGCGAAAUGCGUAGAGAUCGGAAAGAACACCAACGGCGAAAGCACUCUGCUGCCGACACUGACACUGAGAGACGAAAGCUAGGGGAGCGAAUGGG
rnacentral:rRNA from 1 species